rnacentral:rRNA from 1 species
UUGGAGGGCAAGUCUGGUGCCAGCAGCCGCGGUAAUUCCAGCUCCAAUAGCGUAUAUUAAAGUUGUUGCAGUUAAAAAGCUCGUAGUUGAAUUUCGGGAUCAAUAUAUCGGUCGUGCCAUUGGUACGUACUGGUAUCAUUGGUUUCUCCUUUCUGACGAACCAUGAUGUCAUUAAUUUGGUGUUUUGGGGAAUCAGGACUGUUACUUUGAAAAAAUUAGAGUGUUUAAAGCAGGCUUUGGCUUGAAUACAUUAGCAUGGAAUAAUGAAAUAGGACGUUCGAACCUAUUUUGUUGGUUUCUAGGAUCAACGUAAUGAUUAAUAGGGAUAGUUGGGGGCAUUAGUAUUCAAUUGUCAGAGGUGAAAUUCUUGGAUUUAUUGAAGACUAACUACUGCGAAAGCAUUUGCCAAGGAUGUUUUCAUUAAUCAAGAACGAAAGUUAGGGGAUCGAAGACGAUCAGAUACCGUCGUAGUCUUAACCAUAAACUAUGCCGACUAGGGAUCGGAUGAUGUUAAUUUUUUAAUGACUCAUUCGGCGCCUUACGGGAAAC